rnacentral:rRNA from 1 species
CGGCAACAGCUCAAAUUUAAAAUCUGGCCUCUUCGGGGCCCGAGUUGUAAUUUGAAGAAGCGUUUAUCACGUUUUCGUUCGGGUUCAAGUUUCUUGGAAUAGGACAUCAGAGAGGGUGAGAAUCCCGU